AUUGGUAAGCUAUGCAGGAGAAAAAAAGCUUUUCAAUUAUGUCCUCCUUAAAACUUGGAACCCUCUUCGAAUAAGAAAAAUUAACAGUGCUCCAGGAAAACAUGAAACAGAACCAAGAAUGUUGAGUAAAAGGGUAUGUUGUAGCAGUGAAACUGUUACAAUUUAUACUAGAAAGGAAGUUGCAGAUUUUUAAAUUCUUUUGAUAGCUGCAAAGAUACUCAUAGUUUUCUUUUAUUUUUCAAAUCUGCAAGAGAACAACCAGAUUUUUUUUUUACUUGUUAAGAGCAAUAUGGAUUUAUUUUUUAGAGAAGGAUAAAAAUAGUUAUUUACAAACCAAAAGACUAUGUUAAUAGAAUGUAUUAACCUUUCCAAGUUAAAGGUUCGGAUGGCACCUUACUUCUUAUACAUAACAUUAGCAAUAUCCUUUUUGAUUAUUUUUCAUGAUCGGGGAGUUUAUUUUAUUUUUAAUUCUUACUUAUUUAUUUUGGAGGAGCUUGGGACGAAGAAAUAGUAAAUUGAGAUUGCUAUGAUAGUUUAUUAAGUGAAAAGUACAUUCUAUGCACAACUUUAUUUUUGUAAUUCAUUUUGUGCAUCCUUUUUUAAUUUAAAUUUUGUAUGCAGAUUAAUUUAUGUGUUGCACAAGUGUGAGACUCUUUUCUCUAAAUUUGCUUAGGUAUAGUGAUUAGACAAAGACAACUUAGAGAUAAAUUGCUUUCUUGAUUUGUAAUGCAGUGUUUAUACUAUCUUAUGAGUGAGUUUUUCUUAUUUGUGAUUGGAAUGAGCAGGUUCACUUUAAUGUUGGAGUUCAAGCUCUUAGGCUCCCAUAUAAGAUAUAUGUGAAAAAUCACGUUGUUGCAAUCUUUGAAGUGUGCAAUAUAGCUCUUGCUUCCAGCUGACAUGAAGUCUUCCAAAAUUUUGAUUAUUUGGAGAUGCUUCGAAAGACAAGGCAACAUGUGGGUUCGUGGUACCUGUUCGACUGCCAGGUGAUUGAUCAAGGCAUAUGUGGAAAUACGCGGUGCCUAUCUGGAGGGCCUCCUCCCAUUUCAUUCCGAGACGGAGGUUGAGUUUUAGAAUGUAGUAGCAAUCUGAAGUCAUUAGUCGCUCUUGUACUAAUCUAGACCAGGUCAUAGGAAGAUGGAUUGAGUCUGUAAUCAUGUAUUUGUUCUAAUCAUAUGAACACUUGAGUUUAUUACAUAAAUAUUAUGAUAUUCCGCUGUUAUUUCUAAAUAUCUAUUGGUUUAAAUGAAUCGUCCUUAUUUGAUUGAUGUGUAUUCAAUGAGAGGUUUCCCUAUUGAGGUGGGAAAGGUAGGUGCCCGCGCGAUCCCGAAUUGGGUCGUGACAAUCUGCCUUUAUGCCUCUUUUCUCGCUUCCUCUAAGCUGGCAUGAACUUUUGAUGAGAGGAAUAUCUAUGUCUUGUUGAUGCUACAUUGAUUACAACAGUGAUUUCCUCUUAGAAAG